rnacentral:rRNA from 1 species
UACGUAGGGCGCAAGCGUUAUCCGGAAUUAUUGGGCGUAAAGAGCUCGUAGGCGGUUUGUCGCGUCUGCCGUGAAAGUCCGGGCUCAACUCCGGAUCUGCGGUGGGUACGGGCAGACUAGAGUGAUGUAGGGGAGACUGGAAUUCCUGGUGUAGCGGUGAAAUGCGCAGAUAUCAGGAGGAACACCGAUGGCGAAGGCAGGUCUCUGGGCAUUAACUGACGCUGAGGAGCGAAAGCAUGGGGAGCGAGCAGG